AGAGUUUGAUCCUGGCUCAGGAUGAACGCUGGCGGCGUGCCUAACACAUGCAAGUCGAGCGAGAAAUCUAUGUGUUGAAACUUCGGUAGAAACUUUUAGAUGGAAAGCGGCGGACGGGUGAGUAACGCGUAGGCAACCUGCCCUUAGCAGGGGGAUAGCCAUUGGAAACGAUGAUUAAAACCCCAUAAUGCGAAUUUAUCACAUGUUGAAUUCGCCAAAGAUUUAUCGGCUAAGGAUGGGCCUGCGUCUGAUUAGGUAGUUGGUGAGGUAACGGCCCACCAAGCCUACGAUCAGUAGCCGACCUGAGAGGGUGAUCGGCCACAUUGGAACUGAGACACGGUCCAAACUCCUACGGGAGGCAGCAGUGGGGAAUAUUGCACAAUGGGCGAAAGCCUGAUGCAGCAACGCCGCGUGAAGGAUGAAGGUCUUCGGAUCGUAAACUUCUGUCCUUGGGGAAGAAACAAAUGACGGUACCCAUGGAGGAAGCCCGGCUAACUACGUGCC
rnacentral:rRNA from 1 species